rnacentral:rRNA from 1 species
GAGUUUGAUCGUGGCUCAGGAUGAACGCCGGCGGUGUGCCUAAUACAUGCAAGUCGUACGCACUGGCCCAACUGAUUGAUGGUGCUUGCACCUGAUCGACGAUGGAUCACCAGUGAGUGGCGGACGGGUGAGUAACACGUAGGUAACCUGCCCUGUACAGGGGAUAACAAUCAGAAAUGACUGCUAAUACCGCAUAAGACCACAGCACCGCAUGGUGCAGGGGUAAAAACUCCGGUGGUACAGGAUGGACCCGCGUCUGAUUAGCUGGUUGGUGAGGUAACGGCUCACCAAGGCGACGAUCAGUAGCCGGCUUGAGAGAGUGAACGGCCACAUUGGGACUGAGACACGGCCCAAACUCCUACGGGAGGCAGCAGUGGGGAAUAUUGCACAAUGGGGAAACCCUGAUGCAGCAACGCCGCGUGAGUGAAGAAGUAUUUCGGUAUGUAAAGCUCUAUCAGCAGGGAAGAAAGUGACGGUACCUGACUAAGAAGCCCCGGCUAACUACG